CCCCGGUAAACGGCGGCCGUAACUAUAACGGUCCUAAGGUAGCGAAAUUCCUUGUCGGGUAAGUUCCGACCUGCACGAAUGGCGUAAUGAUGGCCAGGCUGUCUCCACCCGAGACUCAGUGAAAUUGAACUCGCUGUGAAGAUGCAGUGUACCCGCGGCAAGACGGAAAGACCCCGUGAACCUUUACUAUAGCUUGACACUGAACAUUGAGCCUUGAUGUGUAGGAUAGGUGGGAGGCUUUGAAGUGUGGACGCCAGUCUGCAUGGAGCCGACCUUGAAAUACCACCCUUUAAUGUUUGAUGUUCUAACGUGGACCCGUAAUCCGGGUUGCGGACAGUGUCUGGUGGGUAGUUUGACUGGGGCGGUCUCCUCCUAAAGAGUAACGGAGGAGCACGAAGGUUGGCUAAUCCUGGUCGGACAUCAGGAGGUUAGUGCAAUGGCAUAAGCCAGCUUGACUGCGAGCGUGACGGCGCGAGCAGGUGCGAAAGCAGGUCAUAGUGAUCCGGUGGUUCUGAAUGGAAGGGCCAUCGCUCAACGGAUAAAAGGUACUCCGGGGAUAACAGGCUGAUACCGCCCAAGAGUUCAUAUCGACGGCGGUGUUUGGCACCUCGAUGUCGGCUCAUCACAUCCUGGGGCUGAAGUAGGUCCCAAGGGUAUGGCUGUUCGCCAUUUAAAGUGGUACGCGAGCUGGGUUUAGAACGUCGUGAGACAGUUCGGUCCCUAUCUGCCGUGGGCGCUGGAGAACUGAGGGGGGCUGCUCCUAGUACGAGAGGACCGGAGUGGACGCAUCACUGGUGUUCGGGUUGUCAUGCCAAUGGCACUGCCCGGUAGCUAAAUGCGGAAGAGAUAAGUGCUGAAAGCAUCUAAGCACGAAACUUGCCCCGAGAUGAGUUCUCCCUGAGACUUAGAGUCUCCUGAAGGAACGUUG
rnacentral:rRNA from 5 species